GUCAUUGUAGCACUCAAAUUGACAUCUUUAACUCAGUUUUUGAAAUGAAGGGGAAAAAAAGGCAAACAACAUAGGCUAAAACACUGUGCUAAAUUUAAUAACCCAAGUUCAGGUGAACAAGACAUCUAGCAAAGUUAUGCAUCACUUCUUCUUCUCUCCACCUCCAGGGGCCCUACUCUUGCGAAGGGCAUUAGACAUCUCCUCCCGCUUCUUCUUUGCCCUCUUGUGAGUGCCAAGCUUUCUCUUUGCAACCUUCAGUGCCCUCUUGUCCUUGCCGACUUUAAGAAGCUCAGUGAUCCUUUUCUCAUAGGGUGCAAAGCCAGCAACUUCCCUAAUCACAGUCCUCACGAAGUGGACCCUUUUGCUUGUUUUCUGUAUGUCAACAAGGAAGAGAAGAAGAGACCACAUUAUAUCUGAGCAUUAUCUUGCACCAUUAGUAAAUUUGAAUUCUAAACUAACUAAUAAACCAAAAUAGAAGUUGACACAGCAAAGUAACCCCCCCUUCUUUGCCUGCUGUACCGUACAUCCGCCUUGGCCGUACAGCAGAAAAAACAAAAAAUUGCAUGCCUGCAAAAUAAUUUAUCUGAAAAACUAGAUCCAAAAAACAAAAACUGUGAACAAUAUCAAUUUGCAGCACAAAAUGAACUUACCCCUUUGCGAUCUGCUGGGCGUGGCGGCAGUUCCUUCUUCGUCACAAUAUGACCCUUGUUUAAUCCAACAAAGAGACCAGUAUUUGGCUGUUUCGGAGCCAUCACCUGCUUCAAUGCAUACAUCAAUUUAAAUAACCCCAACAUGAAAAGGGAAAGAAAAGGAACUUAUUCCAUGUAGUAUACAUAUUCAAACCAUACAAAAAAAAUCACAGAAAAUGGAUUUCAAAACUAUUGAAAAAUCUCCCAGUCCCAUCAUUAGGCAAAUCACAAGCAAAUGAAUACGCCAAAAUGAAAAUAAUAAUAAUAAUAACAAGGCCAUGAUGAAGAAUAAUUAGCUACAAAAACUUCCCCAAAAAAAAAAUAUAGUUACGAUAAAUUUACAGCACGGAAAAGCUGAUACGAACUAACAUGCUACUCAAGCAGCAGUUAACAAAGCUUACUUUAAAUCAAGGACAUAAUGAAGGAAAAUAAAGUGAAAAUCUUGAAUAGUAUAGUUUCCAUUCUCCAAAAAGAAUAAUAAUAAUAACUUUAUAUACAAUAUCUUAAAUUUAAUAUAUUUCUUGCUUCGGUAGUCUCUCGUAAGCCAAACAGAGGAAGUAAUAACAAGAGAGAAUGAUCAAGACAGAGUGAAGGAGAGGAAGUACCUCCGACGAAACUGAGUUGCUGCGGAAACCUAAGAUGAGUUGGAGUAAAUUUUAGGGUUUCAGGUUUGUCGCGCGUUUUAUAAAGUGGGAAAACGCACCGUAUGCUUGGUUCUGAAUUGGGCCGCGAUAAUGAGCCCAAUUAGUCGCAUCAUGAUGGUCCAGCUCAAUUUAUUUGUGACUAAAGCCAGUCGGCGUCCCUCGUACAUUAGCCCCUGGGUUGUGGGAUAUUUUCUUGACAAUUCGGCUGGGCACGGGUCAUCACAAAAAAUAAUAAUAAUAAUAAUAAUUAAUAAAUAAUUUAAGAAAAAUUUAAAAAUUAAAAAAAAAUAAUGAUAUAGCCACAAACUCUUGUACAAACUUAUUUUGUAUAAAUUGAUGUGGCAUGAUGAAAUUAGUUGAAUUAAAAAUCUCUUGACCCACAUGAUUUGUAUAUAUUAUUUUAUAUUUUUAUUCAACCAAUGAAUUAAUGCCACAUCAAUUUGUACAAGAUAAAUUUGUACAAGAGUUUGUGGUUGUAUCAUCACUCGUAAAAAAAUAUAUUUUAUUUUAAUUGAAAUACAUACAUAUUUUAAUAUUUAUUUAAUUCGCUCAUAACUUAUAUUUAAAUCUUAAAGUACUUUAAGCCCAAAUUUUAAAGUUUAAUCUAAUAAAAACAAAAUUUUAUAUACUAUAAAUUUGUAAAUAUAAUGAAAAAAAAAAUAUAAUUUACAGCUUAAGCUCUGCCGAAAAAAGCCCCAACUUCUGACCCGACAAAAGACAUGCUCAUGUUGUCGAGUUUUACCAAGCUUGGCAUGAACAUGACAUUUUACCAUCCCUAACUUGUGAUCACAUAAGACAUGAGUAGUAAUUUGAUUCAUGUCAUGAUAAAAUACAUAUCUAUUUGUCUUUGUUUUUUAAUAUUCUAAAAAUUUUGUAAUUGUAACUAAAAGAAUAGGAAAUUAAAUUUGCUAGUAUCGAUUUUUUUAAUAAAAGCAUAAAUAAAAACUAAAAUCACUAAACACCAAUAUAAGAACUAUUAAAUCCCAUAUAAUUACUAAUUAAAUUAAUUAACACCCACAUUAUUGUAGUAAUGUCAAACUUUGAGAUUAUUUACUAUGGAAACGAAUUUUUUAAAAAACUUGUUUUGCCAAAAUGAGAUAUUUAUUUGGAUUAUUAAUUAUUAUAUUAUCUUUGGAACUUGUUAGCAAUUUGAAAUGUUUAAAAGUUUUACAAAUUUUAAAGCUUCAAUUUUUUUUUCGGUUUUGCUACUGUGUAUCCGUUACACUGUACAUCGACCACAGCCACUAACUAAUAAUGAAAAGAUUAUUAAUAAUAGAUUAAUAACAAAGAAAAAAAUUACAAAUAACGGAACACACAGUGGAUGACAUGCAAUGAUGCAGCUUAUACAUUUUAGUCACACCCAUUUUUCAUGUAUCUUUAAAAUUAUUUUUCGAAUAGAACAAGUAAAGAUGAUUUAAUAUGACAAAAAGGUUAGCUUUACUGGUUAAUGAAAGUAUUUUGAAGAUUUAGGUUUUGGAUUUGAGGUGUUUGUAUCUCAUAUGGCAUGCGUUUGUAUUUAGUUAAUAAAACAAUUGUUUCUAAAGAAAGUAGUGAUAGAACUAUAAAUUAUUGUAUAAAUUUAUUUUAUAUAAAUUAAUAUGACAUGAUUAAAUUAACUAGAUUAAAUAUAUAUGGUCACAUCUAAUUUAUUUUUAUUAUUUUAUAUUUUUAUUCAAUCAGUAAAUUAAUACCACAUUAAUUUAUAUAAAUAACUUUAUACCAAAAUUUGUACCGCCGUUCAUCACUCAUCGACAAAUGUUUAGGCAACCCAUAAUGUUUUCUCAAUUUGAGCAAAAUAUUAAACCUAAAUAGGAAAAUUAAGGAACUUUUGUCCAAAGUCAGAACUUUUAACUGAACAAGAUAUUAAACGGUCUUAACUUUAUUUACAAAAGGAUAUGGUCUAAAUAAAGAGCACGUGCGUCGCGUGACUUCGGAAGGCGGGGACAAAACUAACAAAACCAGUUUCCCGGCCCCUUCAAGCAAAAAUACCACUAACAUUUAAAAUAAUUACACAAACACGCCACUGACUGUAAGAGCCAAUGAUGAUGUUUCACGUUCCCAUAUACACCUCAAAAUCGGCUUUGACUUGCAGGUGGCGCGAUAAAUCCCCCUUCAGAUUUAAAAGAUUCAAUCAUUAUUAUUAAACUAUUAGUUUCACUUUUACAACUCAGCAUUGAAAAUGAAAGUUCUCGUCUUCUUCAGUUGCUGAUCGAAAUUGGUACAAAAUGAAACUCCAUGGGGAUAACAUUUUGAAAGUUUUGUUUUUUCAUUAAUUAAUCUUGUAAUCGUGCUUUUAAACUUUUGUCCUUUUCUUUUUGAAGUUUAUUGAUCAAGAUUAAAUCUGGGACGGGAUUUUUUUCACUUGAAUUAGAUGAUCAGUGGCAAAAGUAAAGAUCUUUCAGUGUGUAGACAGAACCCUAAUGACACAGAUCCACUAUCUGGGUUUCCAUGAAUUUCAAUUUUGAGUUCCGGUGAGUGGUGCCUUGAUUCUUGUACAGAAAGUUUUAAAGUCAUACUAGUCAUUGUUGCCAUUAUUAUCGUUCCUACAAUUCGAUUAUGAUAUUCUCGGUUUCUGCUCCUCAACUCAUUGUUUUCAUCGUCUUUUGGUGCCUGUACUCAAGAGGAUUUUUUGUGGCCUGCGUCAACGGAUCACCAAAGAUCACCGAAGCCUGAAUUCGUGAUUUAUAGUUGAAUUUAUGCUAAGUGUGUGUAUUUGAAUUAUUGCAUAGAUGAGUGACCUAACUACCCGAUUGAAUUUGUGGAGUCGAAACCUUGUGCCAUAUUGAAAUAUCCUGUUAUUUCCCCUAGUUGCCAUGGCAUUUUAUGCAAAAUCGAUCUUCUGUUAUGUGUGCUAGCUUACUUAAAACUAUAGGCAUCUAUGUCUAUCUUAUGUGGCAUCCCUCUACUUGAAUGUGUGUAUUGCUUGGCAUGUGCCCGUUGGGCAUGGAAGCGAUGCCUCCACACGGCAGGCCAUGACAGUGAGACUUGGGGGCUGGCAACUGCUGAAGAAUUUGAACCUGUCCCUCGCAUGUGCCGCUACAUCCUUGCUGUCUAUGAAGAUGAUCUUAGAAAUCCACUUUGGGCACCUCCCGGAGGAUAUGGAAUUAACCCGGAUUGGUUAUUGCUUAGAAAAACUUAUGAAGAUACUGGAGGAAGGGCUCCUCCCUAUAUAUUGUACCUUGAUCAUGACCAUGCCGAUAUAGUCCUUGCCAUAAGGGGCCUUAAUUUGGCAAAGGAGAGUGAUUAUCAACUGCUUUUGGACAAUAAGCUAGGAAAAAAGAAAUUUGAUGGAGGGUAUGUCCAUAAUGGGCUAUUGAAGGCUGCUGGGCGGGUUUUGGAUGAAGAAUGUGAGGUUUUGAAGCAUCAGGUGGAGAAGUAUCCAAAUUACACAUUGACUUUUGCCGGACAUUCCUUAGGGUCAGGUGUGGCGGCAAUGUUGGCAUUGGUGGUGGUGCAAAAUCGGGAUCAAUUGGCCAACAUUGACAGAAAGAGGGUCAGAUGCUAUGCAAUUGCGCCUGCCAGGUGUAUGUCGCUGAAUUUGGCAGUCAGAUAUGCAGAUGUAAUCAACUCAGUCGUGCUUCAGGUAGUUCUAGUCUUUUACCUGUUUGGUGUCCUCUUUUGGUAAAAGAAUUUUGGAAUAUUAAUGUAGCACUCUAUGAAGCCUUAAUAGCUUCUACAUUUAUUUUUAUUACUAUUUCUGUCUUAUCAUCGUAUGAUUAAAUGUUAGAGUUUUCAGGAAAUUUGAUAAGUGCACCAUUGUAUUUUUUUAUGUUUGCUGGUGUUGUCAACGGUUUAAGUUUUACUUGAGAGGAGGGAACUACAUAAUUCUUUUUCCAUCAUCAGUCAUCGCAGAGCUUAAUUCUUGUUCAAAGCUUAGAAUGUAUUUCUUUGAUGAAAAUGCUGCAACUUAGAUAUAUUGUAUUAUAGUUCAGGGUAAGAUAAUUUGUAUGGAUGAUAUAGUAAGUUUUCAAUGAUUACUGCAAAUACCAAUUCUCUUUACUCUGAAAUUCUUUAUAUAAUUACUUGUACCUACAGCAGGAUCCAAGCAUCAAUAUGUUUUUGGACUUAGUAAUUAAUGUUAACAUUUGAUCAGUUUCUUGUCUGGAGAGGAUUUAUUCUCAUAUAGGAAGCUUGCAUGUGAUUAUUGCAGGAUUUACCAUGAACACUUUUUGGAGGGAAUUGAAUUAUGAGAUGAAAUUGAUUUUGUCCUAAGACACGUUAGCAUGCAUGCAUUUCUUACAAAAUGUUGCACUAACUGAUCCACUGAAUUCAUGAGCAUGACUAGAUUGCUAACUAAAUCAGUUUCUGCUUCAUGAAGAAAUGCUAUUUCCCUUCAUACGAUGUAAUGGAUAAAGUUUCAUGUGCUAAUUUUCAGCAAUACGUUUUGAAAGACAGUGUAAACAUGUGGAAUACAUGGAAAUCACAUAUGACUCAGAACCUUCAGUCUAUACCUCUACGACAUGGAUAAAUAUGUCAAAGUAUGACAUAGUAACUAAAUAAACAAAAUAAUUUUUUUAUGGGUAAGACUGAGAAACAAGCUUGCCACGCAUAUGUGGUAUGCAUGAGAUUAAGCAUAGUAUGUCUGACUUGUGCAUUGCCACUAGUGCUUAAGCAGAAUAGCAUAAAUAGCAUUAGAAAAUGAAAAUGUUUUACUCUGAUUUCUCUUCCACUAUAUUCUGUAUAAUUUUUUGUGAUUAUUCCAUUGAACCAGGAUGACUUCUUGCCCCGGACAGCCACACCAUUGGAAGACAUUUUCAAAUCACUUUUCUGGUAUAGUCACGCAUCAUUCUUUUUCGUCUAUAUUUCUAAUACUUUGACAACUAAUAGGCUUUUGAAAUGGAUACUGUGUCACCGUGAAAGGCCGACAAUGUUUCACUUUCUUUUUAUAAUAUUUUUCUUGAAGGAAAACUGUCUUUGAAAUUUAAAGUCUCGGUAUAGACUAAAUUGGGAUGGACCAUUGCAAUAUGUUUGGCUUAUUGAUCAGAGAUCUUGUACUUGUUUAGCAAGGGACUUCUUUGAUAUGUGAGGACAUAUAUAUGUAGCUAAUGAGUUCUCAGUUUUUUUUUAGCACGUGAAAUUUUAGCUAUUGUGGCAUCUGUGCAACAUACUGAUUAAAGUUUUUCUUUUUGAGCAGCUUGCCUUGUAUACUAUGCUUAAGGUGUAUGAGGGAUACAUGUAUACCUGAACAGAAGAUGAUCAGAGAUCCAAGGAGACUAUAUGCACCUGGUCGGUUGUAUCACAUUGUUGAGAGAAAGCCUUUAAGGUACUACUCAGACAGAACAUAAGCAGUUGUCCCCAAUCCCCUUGACCAACUGGUAAUUUUGGGCUGCAGGCUGCAGCUUGCUUUUGAAGUUUGCAUUAUUAGGGAUGUAUCUUAAUUCCCCUCCUCAUCCCCCCCCCCCCCCCCCNNNNNNNNNNNNNNNNNNNNNNNNNNNNNNNNNNNNNNNNNNNNNNNNNNNNNNNNNNNNNNNNNNNNNNNNNNNNNNNNNNNNNNNNNNNNNNNNNNNNNNNNNNNNNNNNNNNNNNNNNNNNNNNNNNNNNNNNNNNNNNNNNNNNNNNNNNNNNNNNNNNNNNNNNNNNNNNNNNNNNNNNNNNNNNNNNNNNNNNNNNNNNNNNNNNNNNNNNNNNNNNNNNNNNNNNNNNNNNNNNNNNNNNNNNNNNNNNNNNNNNNNNNNNNNNNNNNNNNNNNNNNNNNNNNNNNNNNNNNNNNNNNNNNNNNNNNNNNNNNNNNNNNNNNNNNNNNNNNNNNNNNNNNNNNNNNNNNNNNNNNNNNNNNNNNNNNNNNNNNNNNNNNNNNNNNNNNNNNNNNNNNNNNNNNNNNNNNNNNNNNNNNNNNNNNNNNNNNNNNNNNNNNNNNNNNNNNNNNNNNNNNNNNNNNNNNNNNNNNNNNNNNNNNNNNNNNNNNNNNNNNNNNNNNNNNNNNNNNNNNNNNNNNNNNNNNNNNNNNNNNNNNNNNNNNNNNNNNNNNNNNNNNNNNNNNNNNNAAAAGGAGGGGCAGUACAUCAUGAUUGCUAUUAAAUAUAGUAAGUUAGCAGUAUAAUCAUGUCUUAUGUGUCCGUGAAUGAACUUUUUAUUUCCUUUUCAAAUUUAUUGUCUAUUGACCGGCAUUUAUAGGAUUUGCCACAUUGCGUACACAAUGAUUAAUCUUAUAUAUUGAGUGGAUAGCUUUGUUGAUUCUGAGGCAGCAGAAAAAGUUGCAUUUGAACAAGGAUGAAUGAUUUAAUCUGAUUUAAUAUUAUUUUGGUUGCAGAUUGGGAAGAUUUCCCCCAGUUGUGAGGACAGCUGUGCCGGUAGACGGGAGGUUUGAACAUAUAGUUCUUUCUUGUAAUGCCACUGCUGAUCACGCCAUCAUUUGGAUAGAGAAAGAAGCCCAGAGAGCAUUCAAUGUGAGUUUUUCAAUUUCAUUAUCUUUAUAGGGUUGGGAAAAUGGCUGAAGCCUACUUUUGAUGCUAGAUUAUGCCUUUGUUUUAUCUGGUUGGCUUUAAAAAAGCUUUCCAGGGUUCAAUAUGUUGAAAGAUAGGGGAUCGGAAUCUGGCACUUCUGGUAUGCAGUGUAUGCAUUUGUAAUAAGAUUGCUCUGAUUUUCCUUUCAGCUAAUGCAAGAGAAAGAUCACACGAUGGAGAUACCUGAGAAGCAAAAGAUGGAGAGGCAGGAGACUAUAGCCAGAGAACACACACAGGAGUACAAUGCUGCGCUACACAAGGCUGUUUCACUGUCGGUGCCGCAUGCUUUUGCACCUUCUCCUUAUGGUACUUUCACUGAAGAGAGAGGUAAUAGCUCACAUGAGGGAGAAUCAUCGUCGCUUUUAUCAUCUAAGAAACAAGCGAGAGAAAGCUGGAAUGAUUUGAUUGAGCGUCUGUUUGAGAAUGAUGAAUCCAGUCACAUUGUAUUUAAGAAAUCACAUAGCACAUAGGGAUGAUCGAUGCCAUUAUUUUGGGCAUACAUUGGUAAAGACAAGAAAUAUAUACCCUGUAAACAACAUAGAUUCAUUCAUCUGUACUUCAAAACAACAUAGGUUCAUUCAUCUGUACUUCAAUCUCAUUAAUUUGCUGAGUACUUGGAAACCAAAGAUGAACCAAUAUAAACGAAAGUGCUGAAGUCAUUCAAACCCCGGUGCCUGUGAGGACAAUCAGUAAAUGGAAGGAACUUGUUUGAAGAAAUAUAAAUAUGACAUUAACAUCAACCUUUUGCCCUCAAAUUUGCUGUUGAUAUAUGAACAGAAAGAGGAAGUCGCUAGUGAGAAGAGAUCAUACCGUGUCCUCAAUGUUUAUCCAAUAAAAUGAAAUCUUAAAAUAUGUAUCACAGUAAAGGGGAAACCUGUGGUGUAACUGUGUUAUCGUGCUACAGUUGCAUCCAGCUGUUGGAUGUCGGUGGAUCCCACCAAUCUAAGUGCAUCCAACAGCUGGAUACAAUUAUAGUACGGUACUACAGUUGCACUGUAGCUUAAUUCCACAGUCAACCAUUUUUCACACCCACACACGCUGAGAUAAUGUUCAAGUAUCCUGUAUACAUUAGUGAGAAAUUUUUGUUAUGUAUAUUAAAAACAACCUCAUCUUAUACGAACGUCAAUAUUUUUUUUUGGAAUUCAGCAUGCAUAUAAAGGUGAUGAGGUCCGAGUAUUGUAAUACCAAAACAGAUUUAAUACAAACUAAUUUAUCAAUAUUAUUAUUUCCUUCUUAUUUUCACUCUGUUUCGGUAAUUAAUAUGUGCAAUUUACCCCCCAAAAAAAGGAGGGGUGGGAAAAAGAAAGCGAAAGUGAAAAAUCAUAAAGAAACGAAUCGAUAUCACUUCACAUUCAUCAUCAUCACAGAGAUAUAGAACAGACAACUCUUGAAUCGGUUAGCCUGUUCUGUUGGCUUCGAUCUUCAAUCGCCUUCUCACAGAAUUAUAAAUGCAUGGCUUCGAUUCGAUUUGUAUUUCUUGUUUUAGCUUUCACAUCUUCCUUCGUUUCUUCUUCUUCUUCUUCAGACAGGUAUAAGAAACGUAACCACCGAUCUCAUUUUUAAUAUUUGAGAAUUCAUUUCAAGAAAUGGGUAGUUCAUAUAUCAUCUGCUUACAUUAUUUUUCGUGUUUUGUUAUUAAUAGUCUUUCUUUGCAAUGAUUUUGUUUCAGUGGCCGGAAGGAAUUGAGGAAUAAAAAGGGAAACUGGGAAAGUGUCGUACAAUUGCCUCACUCAAUUAAUUCUAAAAGAGUUGAUCCAUCACGAGUUACUCAGAUCUCGUGGCGACCAAGGUCAGGUACUUACUAUAAUUCUAUUGGCAGUAAAGAAUUUCGUAUUCCUGUAAAACAGUAUCUUUAUUAGCAUUGUAUCAAAUUCUGCAUAAACUACUCACAAGUUUUAGUUGUAGUAUGCCCCCAACAUUAAUUGUGUGUUUACUAGCUUGUUUACAUAAAAUCUGAUGUCACGUUUCUUGGAAUAGGGUCUUUUUAUAUCGCGGCCUUCUGUCAAAUGAAGAGUGUGACCACCUUAUUUCACUGGUAUAAUACUGCGGUCCCUUUACAUUGAGCACGUGAAUUGACAUUACACCUGGAUUUGUUUUAGAGUGUUUAUUUUGUGCGUAGGGCCAUGGUGCAGAAAAAAAGUAUAAGCGCACGGGUGAGGAUCCUGAGAAUGUUUCAAAGAACAAGCAGAAUUCUAGUUUCAGAACUGAAUUAAACAUAGAAGUGAGUUUUCCAGUAUCUCUAUAUAAUUAACUUCUAUGUGUUCUGUGCAUAAGGUAUUGACAAAACAUUUUGAAGUAGGUGGCAUCACUGCAUGCCUUUUGAUAAUGUUUUCUUUUUCUCAACUCAAGGCAAUUCAGAUAUGUAUCUUUGGUGUGUGUUGGUUUGUGUGGGUGUGUGAGUAUAUAACAAGUCACCAACAAUAAAAGAUUUCAUAGAGGAAGUGUUCAUGCCAUGAUCUAGUUGUAGAAGGCUUAAUCUUGUUGGUACCUUUACUUGAACUCCAUACUUUUUAAUGAACUUCUGGAAGGGCCUAAAUAUUCUGUCACAUGCUUCCCUAGAACUUACUUCCAAUCUUUGGGCAUUCUAGGAUGAUAUUGUUGCAAGGAUAGAAGAAAAAAUUUUAACAUGGACUUUUCUUCCGAAAGGUAUCUUCCUGAGUCCUGAUCCUCGUCUUCUAAAAUGCUAGUUUUUAUAGAGAUUUUACCUUCUAAUUUCAUGGGUUGUAUACUUGAUGUUCGUUGUCCUUCAGAGAACAGUAAACCUGUACAUGUAAUGCGAUAUGGGCUUGACGAGGCCAAAGAGAACUUAGAUUAUUUUGGUAAUAAAUCUGCACUAGGUUUAAGUCAGCCUCUGAUGGCAACAGUGGUUUUGUAUCUCUCAAAUGUCACUCAAGGUGGUGAGCUGCUCUUCCCUAAUUCAGAGGUGAGAGAAACUUGCUUUAUCUUCUUGUAUUAUCAUAAUGAAUGUAGGGUUCAAAUAAACCUUUGCUCAACUGAUGUUAGUUCAAAUUGGUCAGGAAAAGGAUAAGAUGUGGUCUGAUUGUGCAAAAACAAGCAAUGUCCUAAGACCUGUCAAAGGCAAUGCAAUUUUGUUUUUUACUGUACACCCCAAUGCUGCUCCUGAUGAGAGUAGCUCUCAUACCAGAUGCCCAGUCCUUGAGGGGGAAAUGUGGUCUGCUGUCAAAUUCUUCCAAGUAAAAGCAGCCAAUGCAGAAGAAGUUUUAAUUGGUUCCGAUAGCAAUGAAUGCACUGAUGAAGAUGAUAAUUGCCCUCAUUGGGCAGCCGUUGGGGAAUGUCAAAGGAAUCCCGUCUACAUGCUUGGUUCUCCUGAUUACUAUGGUACCUGCAGGAAGAGUUGUCAUGCUUGUUGAUUAUUAUUAUUCAUGUAUUCCAUUCCAGUUAUUGUUUUCAAUAAUUAGGUAAAAUUUUUUAGUUUGAUUAGUAAAUGAUCUGCUUCAGCCUACUGAGAUCUUUUUUGCUUGUGAUGUUGCUGAUAAUAUAGAUUGCAGCAGUAACUGAGAUGAUGGAUGUUGAUGGAUACAUGUUGUAUAUUUUACUGGGUGUAAAUUUGAAUAAAGAAUGCAGGAACAGGAAUCCUACAAUGUUAUGUGAUGAUUGGAGAGAAUGAAUAAAUUUUGGUAAUGAUGAUAUGGAUUCACAACAUUUUUGGCUUUGCCCAAUAUCAUUCAUAGACAUCUUUAUAAUCGCAAGUUUGAACUUAAUUUGGUAGGGAGCUGUACCCAGAAGUAGAAACUCCAAAAAUUGGAGUGUGCUUCUAAAACUAGUGAGCACACGGUAUUUUUUAGCAAAAGGCGAAAGACUAAUCACUGUGCUCACCACGAGGCUCCAGUAAUCAGCAGCUUACCGCAUUGGUGCGAUCGAGAUCGAUGUGGGACUGUCAGCUUUAAUCUGCAAAUAGUCUGUCCUACCCUUCUGAUCGUUUUAUGCACACAUUAAAUAGCAAGGAUCACGAUUCUCCAAAAAUACCAAUGAACUCGCCAAGGCAACUAACUCACUAUCUUCAAUUUUAUAUUAAGAAUUGAUGUUCACUCAGACUCACAUGAAACAGUGCAAGUGUAACUAGAAACAAUUUUUCGACUAAGAAUUGUGUAGGUCUUUACCCCGGAGAGAGCCCUUCCAGAAAUUCUCAAAGGCCAGGGCCAAACCCCAGGCCUAAGGGGGGAUUUGGAAAUACUUUUCAACCAGCAAUAGACGCGCCUUGGAUAGAACCUCAAUAGCUGCGUCGAUGCCCCAAGCGCAAAGAUGGUUGCAACGACUCGGUUGGCUCCCUUUUAUAAAAUGCCACUAAGAUUCAACAAAUAUCCGUACUCGAUGUGGGAUUUCUGGGCCUCGCAUACGGUGCCUCAUUGAACAUAACUAGUAUCUGACCAGUAAUUUAAGUGCACUUGUUGAGUCUGAACUCUGAACCAAUCAACUUAUCAAAAUCUAAUCCAAUUCGAUGUUCAUUAAUAAAGCCAGUAAGACUGUUGGUUUUAAACUGGGUGAAGAAGAGAUGACCAAAUCGGGUCUUUCAGCAAAAUUCCAAGCGCAUUCGAAUCAAAUUGUUUUGUAAGCAUGCAAAGAUAAUCCUCCUAAUAACUGAGCAACUGGGCAUUUUGCCAACCCAAUUGGAGAAUAGAACUUUUAUAUAAAGACUUGGUGGGGUGCGCCAGGCCCGCGCAGUAGUGCAACACAUGGGCGACGCUUAGGGUUCACAGUAGCAAGCUACUGUAUCGAACUCCCCCCUCAAAAAAUUAAUUUAAUAUCGUGUGGAUCGAUGAUCCACAUAUCAGAUAUUAAACUGAUAAGAACAGAUACUACACUUGAUCUUAGCCAAAAGGCCGAGAAAGGUAUGCUUUUGGUCGUGUUAUAGCUCUGCUUUUAAACCCGUGCCAGGCAUAUUUUAUUUCUUUUGAUCACUCGAUGUGGGACUCAGGCAACUAAAAAUGAGCUAAUGGAUUUAGGGUUCACGCAACAAUAACCAUCUAAUUGAGAUAAGUUUUCCAACCCAAUGAAGAUGGUGUUGUAUUCAAAUUUGACAUCACGGGUCUACGCCAAAUUGUUUGUAUCAGUAUUAUUUGGCUUCCGCUUCAGUUUUGGCUAAGAACAUAACUGCAGAACUAUUUCCAAUUUUCCAUAUAUAUCCAAUUCUAUCCUGAAUGAAACAUUUUAACUCUGAACAAGGGUCUCACCAUUUUUUAUUCCACCAGCAAUAUUUGCCGACGAUGCUGGGAUCACCUCCAGCUACAUCGGUGGAAUCUUUUUCAGUUUGCUACAUACAACUGCUUUCUCAAUCUACACAGCUUUGGCAACUCCUUUGACACAUUCAUGUCGAUCAGUUUGCUUUCUUUUAUUUCUUUCUUCCCAAAUUACACACAAGUAGCUAAAACCGCACAGUUACCAAAAGAGUUCUGGCAUCUUUGCCUCACAGGAGCCAAAAUAUUCUCCUUAAGCAGUGAAGCAACCCACAAAAUCCUGGUUGCUCUGGUUGCUUUCUUUGAACAACAUCUGCCGUAUUAACCUUGCCAAGAACCAAAGCCCAGGGAAAGACUUCGGCUUUCCAUAUCACUUUAAACUCUUUGAAUUCAUCCCGAGAACUCUUUUCAGCCAAAACUCUGCCCUCGUCUCAUCAAUGUUUACACGAUCUAACAUCCUCAUAAGACUUUAAAUUCCUUCAAAACUCUGAAUUCUAGUUUCAACUCACACUUUAUGGGGAAGGAACUGAUCUGGAAAAGAUGGAGACAUUCUUAUUGGUGUAAAUCUUCCCGGACUUUUAUUUGCUGUUCAUUUUUUCUUUCUAGUUUCAUUCUAUGAUCUAACAUAGUUUAUAUACCAAUACAUAAAUUUCCCAAUAAAUUCUAAAAGCUGAUAAAUCAACAAAAGGAACAUUCACAUCCAAACUGGUAACAAAACGAGAAACAUAAUCAAAUUUACAUAAAGUUUCUACCACUUUUAUUUCACUCAGUAAAUAAACAAAAAAUUAGUAACCAAAAUUAAACCCUUAUCAAUCAAAUGCCGGUACAAAAUUCAUGUAACACAAAGUAAAAAACUUCUCACGUAUAUGUGGGAUAUAAAGCAAGUGUGCAAAUAGGUAUCAUCCAGAAUUUACUUAAAGAAGGAAAAAAAAUUUCCCAUAGAUCAGAUUCACACACCAGAAUUGAACUGCUGUUUAGAUUCCAAAGAAGAGCUAGGUUUUUUCAAAGAACAAGAAGACUUGAAAGCCUCAAUCUGUGAUUGGCAUUUCACGUAGUCUCCUUUGUUUUCUUCCAAGCAUUUCUUCAGAGCCUCGACAUCGCACGGUGACAUAAUCUUCUUCGCACCGUUACUCUCUGCCGUCUCCUCCAUCGAUUCCAAUACCAAAAGUCAAAACCACCUUGUUUGAUUCCUGAUAAAUCCGAAGAGAAAGCCCAGGUUCAGCGACUUAAAAUACUUUUUGGUUAUUAUCUUAUUCCUCCCUCUUUUUUAAGAAAGUAACAUGUUAGUCCACAGAUUUAACACUUGUUUAAAAUUAAUUAUCCCUUACCAAACCCAUAUUUUCUAACAAUAGCCUGAAAUUUUGAAGAAUAAAAUUUGAUCACAAAUAUGCCUUCUCUAUUUCUUCAAACAGCAGUUUUCUCUAAUAUAAGAAAAAGAAGAAGAAAAUAUUUUAAAACCAAAUGUUUGCCAAAUUUUAUAUUAACCCGCUGUAUCUCUUUUAUUAAUUAUUAUCUUUAUUAUAUUCAACUUUUCC
rnacentral:lncRNA from 1 species